GGAGUUUGAUCCUGGCUCAGAACGUACGCUGGCGGCACGCCUAACACAUGCAAGUCGAACGAAGUAGCAAUACUUAGUGGCAGACGGGUGAGUAACAUGUAGGUAUCUGCCCUUUGGCCUGGAAUAACACGAGGAAACUUGUGCUAAUACCGGAUAAGUCUUUACGGAGAAAGCUUUAUGCACCAUUGGAUGAGCCUGCACUUGAUUAGUUUGUUGGUGGGGUAAUGGCCUACCAAGACUGUGAUCAAUAGCUGAUUUGAGAGGAUGAUCAGCCACAUUGGGACUGAGACACGGCCCAAACUCCUACGGGAGGCAGCAGUGGGGAAUCUUGCACAAUGGAGGAAACUCUGAUGCAGCGAUGCCGCGUGAGUGAAGAAGGCCCUUGGGUUGUAAAGCUCUUUCGUCGGGGAAGAAAAUGACUGUACCCGAAUAAGAAGGUCCGGCUAACUUCGUGCCAGCAGCCGCGGUAAUACGAAGGGACCUAGCGUAGUUCGGAAUUACUGGGCUUAAAGAGUUCGUAGGUGGUUGAAAAAGUUGGUGGUGAAAUCCCAGAGCUUAACUCUGGAACUGCCAUCAAAACUUUUCAGCUAGAGUAUGAUAGAGGAAAGCAGAAUUUCUAGUGUAGAGGUGAAAUUCGUAGAUAUUAGAAAGAAUACCAAUUGCGAAGGCAGCUUUCUGGAUCAUUACUGACACUGAGGAACGAAAGCAUGGGUAGCGAAGAGGAUUAGAUACCCUCGUAGUCCAUGCCGUAAACGAUGUGUGUUAGACGUUGGAAAUUUAUUUUCAGUGUCGCAGCGAAAGCGAUAAACACACCGCCUGGGGAGUACGACCGCAAGGUUAAAACUCAAAGGAAUUGACGG
rnacentral:rRNA from 1 species